UUUCCAUGACUGUUCUACAAAUAGCACCCGGGCCUGACAUAAAGGGCAUUUUUCGGAUCCUCCGCCCCCCCCCAGCCCCCACCGCGAUUGCCGUUCUUGGUGUCUGGGGAUGCUGUUUUGUUUUUACACUCUCUGCUUUAGUUCCGUGGGUCCUGACAAGUGCCCGAUUCUCCACGGCGAUGACCAGCUGCUUUGUUCCCGGCUCAGUGUGGGAAGGACAGCCUACCUCAAGCACUCGUUUGAAUCAAUCGAUUAUCCAAGAGCUUUUGAUAACAUAUGAGGUCAGCGAUGCCACCAUCUGCCUUCAUGCAUGACGGCUAUGAGCAAGGUCUGCAUCUCUGUGGGACUGACUUCGAGAGCCUAAUGUCUUUUUCUAAAAGGCUGCUCAAGCCCCAGCUGGAACACAGGAGGGUCACCCUUGGAGCCCUCACCUGCACUUGGAAGAAGAUGCCCAAAGUCGAGAACAUGCCACACAACACCAUGCAUAACGCCAUGAGCUCUCCAAACACAAACUCUAUCUGCCGGAAAGUGCCUGGAGACUGGGCUAC